rnacentral:rRNA from 1 species
UACAGAGGGUGCAAGCGUUAAUCGGAAUUACUGGGCGUAAAGCGUGCGUAGACGGUUAUGUAAGUCGGGUGUGAAAGCCCCGGGCUCAACCUGGGAAUGCCAUUCGAGACUGCAUAGCUAGGGUGCGGAAGAGGGAAGCGGAAUUUCCGGUGUAGCGGUGAAAUGCGUAGAUAUCGGAAGGAACACCAGUGGCGAAAGCGGCUUCCUGGUCCAGCACCGACGUUCAGGCACGAAAGCGUGGGAGCAAACAGG